rnacentral:rRNA from 1 species
AGUAACGCGUGGAAAACCUGCCGUAUACCGGGCGGAUAACACUUAGAAAUAGGUGCUAAUACCGCAUAAGCGCACAGCUUCGCAUGAAGCAGUGUGAAAAACUCCGGUGGUAUAUGAUGGUUCCGCGUCUGAUUAGCUAGUUGGCGGGGUAACGGCCCACCAAGGCAGCGAUCAGUAGCCGGCCUGAGAGGGUGAACGGCCACAUUGGGACUGAGACACGGCCCAAACUCCUACGGGAGGCAGCAGUGGGGAAUAUUGCACGAUGGGGGAAACCCUGAUGCAGCGACGCCGCGUGAGUGAAGAAGUAUUUCGGUACGUAAAGCUCUAUCAGCAGGGAAGAAAAUGACGGUACCUGACUAAGAAGCCCCGGCUAACUACGUGCCAGCAGCCGCGGUAAUACGUAGGGGGCAAGCGUUAUCCGGAUUUACUGGGUGUAAAGGGAGCGCAGACGGCAGCGCAAGUCUGGAGUGAAAUGCCGGGGCCCAACCCCGGAACUGCUUUGGAAACUGUGCAGCUUGAGUGCGGGAGAGGUAAGUGGAAUUCCUAGUGUAGCGGUGAAAUGCGUAGAUAUUAGGAGGAACACCAGUGGCGAAGGCGGCUUACUGGACCGUAACUGACGUUGAGGCUCGAAAGCGUGGGGAGCAAACAGGAUUAGAUACCCUGGUAGUCCACGCCGUAAACGAUGAUUACUAGGUGUCGGGGGACCAAGGUCCUCCGGUGCCGGCGCAAACGCAUUAAGUAAUCCACCUGGGGAGUACGUUCGCAAGAAUGACUCAAAGGAAUUGACG